AUGCCAGUACCUGGUAUAGUAUAUAUAGGUAUGUAUGUCGUUGAGUUACGAUAGGUUCGACGCAACAUUACAGAUGAGCCCGGGAUAAGAUAAGAAUUGUACAUGAUUUGUAAAUACAGGAAUAGUUCCAGUUUUCUACACAAUAGUUUCCAGUAUGAAGUCUGCUAGCGUUGUGGUUUUAGUUUUGAUGACGUCAGUCUGUGCCUCUCCAAUACAGCGAAGAGAGCUUGAGGAAAUGGCAACACACACCACCGUGAAACCCGAUUACAACGCCAUAUUGCAUCAGCUAGGGGAAUACUUCAAAGGUAGAGACCUCCACACGAGGCAGUUGGUACCCGUUGCCGGGGACUCCGACGUUGCUAGGGACGACAUUCUUCACGAGUUGGGCGAGUACUGGAAGGGGCGCAUAGCGGCACUUAGCGCACUCUUGUCACAACAUAGCACCCAACAACACAUUAACUUGUUCUCCCAGUUACCGAAUAAUUUGAAAUAAACAGUUUGAUCAAAUUUUUAAA